rnacentral:rRNA from 1 species
UACGGGGGGGGGCAAGCGUUGUUCGGAAUUACUGGGCGUAAAGGGCUCGUAGGCGGCCAACUAAGUCGGACGUGAAAUCCCCAGGCUCAACCUGGGAACUGCGUCUGAUACUGGAUGGCUUGAAUUCGGGAGAGGGAUGCAGAAUUCCAGGUGUAGCGGUGAAAUGCGUAGAUAUCUGGAGGAAUACCGGUGGCGAAGGCGGCAUCCUGGACCGACAUUGACGCUGAGGAGCGAAAGCUAGGGGAGCAAACGGGG